GAUGAACGCUGGCGGCGUGCCUAAUACAUGCAAGUCGAACGCACAGCGAAAGGUGCUUGCACCUUUCAAGUGAGUGGCGAACGGGUGAGUAACACGUGGAUAACCUACCUCAAGGUUGGGGAUAACAUUUGGAAACAGAUGCUAAUACCGAAUAAAACUUAGUAUCGCAUGAUACCAGGUUAAAAGGCGCUACGGCGUCACCUAGAGAUGGAUCCGCGGUGCAUUAGUUAGUCGGUGGGUAAAGGCUUACCAAGACAAUGAUGCAUAGCCGAGUUGAGAGACUGAUCGGCACAUUGGACUGAGACACGGCCCAAACUCCUACGGGAGGCUGCAGUAGGGAAUCUUCCACAAUGGGCGAAAGCCUGAUGGAGCAACGCCGCGUGUGUGAUGAAGGCUUUCGGGUCGUAAAGGC
rnacentral:rRNA from 1 species